UUCAAAGCUGACAACUGGUGAUGCAUUGUCUUAUUUGAAGGAAGUCAAGGACAUGUUUCAAAGCCAAAGGGAUAAGUAUGACAUGUUCCUUGAUGUUAUGAAAGACUUUAAAGCUCAAAGAAUUGAUACUGUUGGUGUCAUAGCUAGAGUAAAAGACUUGUUUAAAGGGCAUCCUAGGUUGAUCCUUGGAUUCAACACCUUCUUGCCCAAGGGUUAUGAAAUAACCCUCAAUGAUGAAGAUGAGGCUCCUCCAAAGAAAGUUGAGUUUGAAGAAG
rnacentral:misc_RNA from 1 species